rnacentral:rRNA from 1 species
UGGGGAAUUUUGGACAAUGGGGGAAACCCUGAUCCAGCCAUCCCGCGUGUGCGAUGAAGGCCUUCGGGUUGUAAAGCACUUUUGGCAGGAAAGAAACGUCAUGGGUUAAUACCCCGUGAAACUGACGGUACCUGCAGAAUAAGCACCGGCUAACUACGUGCCAGCAGCCGCGGUAAUACGUAGGGUGCAAGCGUUAAUCGGAAUUACUGGGCGUAAAGCGUGCGCAGGCGGUUCGGAAAGAAAGAUGUGAAAUCCCAGAGCUCAACUUUGGAACUGCAUUUUUAACUACCGGGCUAGAGUGUGUCAGAGGGAGGUGGAAGUCCGCGUGUAGCAGUGAAAUGCGUAGAUAUGCGGAGGAACACCGAUGGCGAAGGCAGCCUCCUGGGAUAACACUGACGCUCAUGCACGAAAGCGUGGGGAGCAAACAGG